rnacentral:rRNA from 1 species
AGUGAACGCUGGCGGUAGGCCUAACACAUGCAAGUCGAACGGCAGCACAGUAAGAGCUCGCUCUUACGGGUGGCGAGUGGCGGACGGGUGAGGAAUACAUCGGAAUCUACUUUUUCGUGGGGGAUAACGUAGGGAAACUUACGCUAAUACCGCAUACGACCUACGGGUGAAAGCAGGGGAUCUUCGGACCUUGCGCGACUGAAUGAGCCGAUGUCGGAUUAGCUAGUUGGCGGGGUAAAGGCCCACCAAGGCAACGAUCCGUAGCUGAUCUGAGAGGAUGAUCAGCCACACUGGAACUGAGACACGGUCCAGACUCCUACGGGAGGCAGCAGUGGGGAAUAUUGGACAAUGGGCGCAAGCCUGAUCCAGCCAUACCGCGUGAGUGAAGAAGGCCUUCGGGUUGUAAAGCCCUGUUGUUGGGAAAGAAAAGCAGCAUGUUAAUACCCCGCUGUUCUGACGGUACCCAAAGAGUAAGCACCGGCUAACUUCGUG